rnacentral:rRNA from 1 species
AAUCAACGCUGGCGGCGUGCCUCAGACAUGCAAGUCGAACGCGAAAGUCCCCUUCGGGGGACAAGUAGAGUGGCGCACGGGUGAGUAACACGUAGGUAAUCUACCUUCGGAUGGGGAAGUAACAACCGGAAACGGUUGCUAAUACCGCAUAAUGCAGCGGCACCUAAUGGUGACAGUUGUUAAAGCGGGGGAUCGAAAGACCCCGCGUCUGAAGAGGAGCCUGCGGCGGAUUAGCUAGUUGGAAGGUAAUGGCUUACCAAGGCGACGAUCCGUAGCCGGCCUGAGAGGGCGGUCGGCCACACUGACACUGACAUACGGGUCAGACUCCUACGGGAGGCAGCAGUCGGG